GAUGAACGCUGGCGGCGUGCCUAAUACAUGCCAGUCGAGCGAACAGACGAGGCGCUUGCUCCUCUGACGUUAGCGGCGGACGGGUGAGUAGCACGUGGAUAACCUACCUCUAUGACUUGGAUCACUUCGGGAAACCGGAGCUAAUACCGGAUAAUAUCUUCAACCGCAUGGUUCAAUAGUGAAAGACGGUUUUGCUGUCACUUAUCGAUGGAUCCGCGCCGCAUUAGCUAGUUGGUAAGGUAACGGCUUACCAAGGCACCGAUGCGUAGGCGACCGGAGCGGGGGAUCGGCCACACGGGAACUGGGACAGGGUCCAGACGCCUACGGGAGGCAGCAGUAGGGAAUCGGCGGCAAUGGUCGAAAGCAUGACGGAGCAAGGGCGCGUGAGUGAUGAAGGUCUUCGGAGCGUAAAACUCUGUUAUUAGGGAAGAACAAAUGUGUAAGUAAAAAUGCACGUCGUGACGGUACCUAAAGAGAAAGCCACGGCUAACUACGUG
rnacentral:rRNA from 1 species